rnacentral:rRNA from 1 species
UAGAGUUUGAUCAUGGCUCAGGAUGAACGCUAGCGGCAGGCUUAACACAUGCAAGUCGAGGGGCAUCGGGAGGGAAGCUUGCUUUCCUUGCCGGCGACCGGCGCACGGGUGAGUAACACGUAUGCAACCUGCCCUCUUCAGGGGGACAACCUUCCGAAAGGGAGGCUAGUCCCGCGUAUAUCGGUUUCGGGCAUCCGAGAUCGAGGAAAGAUUCAUCGGAAGAGGAUGGGCAUGCGGCGCAUUAGCUUGACGGCGGGGUAACGGCCCACCGUGGCGACGAUGCGUAGGGGUUCUGAGAGGAAGGUCCCCCACACUGGUACUGAGACACGGACCAGACUCCUACGGGAGGCAGCAGUGAGGAAUAUUGGUCAAUGGGAGAGAUCCUGAACCAGCCAAGCCGCGUGAGGGAUGACGGCCCUACGGGUUGUAAACCUCUUUUGUCGGGGAGCAAAUUCCGCCACGUGUGGCGGAGUCGAGAGUACCCGAAGAAAAAGCAUCGGCUAACUCCGUGCCAGCAGCCGCGGUAAUACGGAGGAUGCGAGCGUUAUCCGGAUUUAUUGGGUUUAAAGGGUGCGUAGGCGGACUGUCAAGUCAGCGGUAAAAUACGGGGGCUCAACCUCCGCCCGCCGUUGAAACUGACGGUCUUGAGUGGGCGAGAAGUAUGCGGAAUGCGUGGUGUAGCGGUGAAAUGCAUAGAUAUCACGCAGAACUCCGAUUGCGAAGGCAGCAUACCGGCGCCCAACUGACGCUGAAGCACGAAAGCGUGGGUAUCGAACAGGAUUAAAUACCCUGGUA